rnacentral:rRNA from 1 species
CGGAUCAGAAUGCCGCGGUGAAUACGUUCCCGGGUCUUGUACACACCGCCCGUCACACCACGAGAGUUUACAACACCCGAAGUCAGUGGCCUAACCGCAAGGAGGGAGCUGCCUAAGGUGGGGUAGAUGAUUGGGGUGAAGUCGUAACAAGGUAGC